rnacentral:rRNA from 1 species
UACGUAGGGGGCAAGCGUUGUUCGGAAUUACUGGGCGUAAAGGGCUCGUAGACGGCCAACUAAGUCAGACGUGAAAUCCCUCGGCUUAACCGGGGAACUGCGUCUGAUACUGGAUGGCUUGAGAUUGGGAGAGGGAUGCGGAAUUCCAGGUGUAGCGGUGAAAUGCGUAGAUAUCUGGAGGAACACCGGUGGCGAAGGCGACAUCCUGGACCAAUACUGACGCUGAGGAGCGAAAGCCAGGGGAGCAAACGGG